rnacentral:lncRNA from 1 species
GGGAACCUGACAAGACUGACUAGCCAUCUCUAGCAUUCAGAUAGGUGGAACUUCAUUGUGCUGAAGUUAUGUUUGAGCACCCUCUGCUGGACAAAUCAGGUAAGUACAGGAUUUUUUUUUUUUUUUUUGGUCUUGUGCCUUUUAAAUUCAUGCUCCGAAGAAGAGAAGAUUUUUAUCUCGAAUCUACACUAAAAGAAGUCUCCUCUUUAAACAGAUGCUCUAUGACUACCAACAAUGUACCAGUGGUAUUCGUCUCUUGCAGAUCUGGAAGAAAAUGAAAUUUAGGUACAUACAGUCACGAACAGAUACCUAGAUGACACAUUUAAAACCCUCAAACACAGUGGAGAUGAGACCAGCAUAAUAUUAAGCUCUUCUCCCUCACAAACACCUGUGCUACCCACACUCACAGGCAAAAAAAAUAUACACAACUGCCAGACUGCAAUGCCUCCCAAUUUAUUGGCCAAAUCUAGAUUCUGCUAGCCCUGUAUAUUCACUCAGAAAGCCAGGCUUCAGACACACCAUGAGUGAUGAGAAAUCCAUUUCAUCAGCAGAGGCAUCUUGCCUAUCUUCAGGAAGCCUACAGACUUCCAGGGAAGCAGGGGGGAAAUCAAGACGUGUCUGACUAUGAGCUGGGGUAAGGGAAGCCUCCGUGUGAAGAUGUGACCUAGUUAGGAAUGUGAGCGAGCAGUCUCCUUCCUGCUGCUGCAGCUGCAAGCUGCUCCUGCCGCCCAUGCCUUCUCUACUGCCAUGCCUUCCCUACCACAAGGGCCAGAACUCUCACACUGAAAGCCAGAAUAAAUCCUUCCUCUCUUCGGUUGGUUGUUGUCAGGUAAUUGGUCCCAACCAUGGUAAAGCUUAGUGGAAAAGAAAAAAAAGGUAAAAAUCUAUUGUAGACUGAGUGCCCUGAAUCAGAAAACACACAGUCCAGCUGCUCUGAAAUCUAAGCAUCAUCGUGACACUACAAAGAGAAAACUCCAUAUCUGACCACACAUGAGAAUCUACUGAUGAAUACAACCAUGGGUUUACUAAAAAAAGGUGUAUAAAAUGAUCUUCAAGCUGCUCGUAUAAGAUAGGUAUGAAGUGUAAAUUGAAUUUUGGGUCUGACCCCCUAACAUAUUUUCCUGCGUGAAUACAAAUUCCCUCAAGUCCAAAUAACCCCACACUUGGGCGUUUCAGAUAGGGGAUACCCAAUCUGUAAGCCGUUUACUGCCAUAGAGAAGCUAUGAUGCAAGCAGAGCCUACUAACAACUUGGCCAAAACACUUCUAAUAACAGAACUUCACAUGGGUUUCCAUGAGGUCAGAAUGGAAGUAGGAGGAUACAUUGUUUGACGUCAUGGUAUCUGUCCAAUUAAGGUCUGUGUGAGCCUUCCAUCACCAUAACAAAACACAGAACAGAAUCAGCUUUUUAAGGGGGCUUAUUUUGGAUUAUGGUUGCAUAGGAAGAUAUAUAGAUAGGAUCUCCAUGCCAAUAUUUUUAAUGGGUGCUGUCUCUAUUGCUCUGGGCAGGAGAAGGCAGCAGCUGGCAUCAAUGGUGUGGUGAGGAGAGAAUCAAGUUUCCUUCUCCAGUUCAAACAGACGAAAGUGAAGCGACAUAGGCUCAAGGACAGGGUCACUGGGCUAGCGCCACACCAUGGAGCCAAACCCCGAGCCUUCUAAAUUGUGAGCUGGGCAUGGUGGUUCACCCCAGGAAUCGCAGCACUGAGGGAUGAAGGCGAGAGAGUCACUGUGGGUGUGACAUCAGUCUGGCCUGAAGUCUGAGACUGUUUUUUUAAAAAGAAAACAUUUUUUUAUGUCAUAUAUUUAAUUAUAUAAAGAUUCUGUUGUUUUGUUGUUGUUGUUGUUAAAAUUCAGCCAGGAAAUUUCCAUCUGUCUGGUGUUAAUUGGUUGUUUUUCAGCACUAAUUGGGAAAUGAUAUAUUUUUAUUGUUUUAUAAAUAGAGUAAAACCCCUCAGAAACUGCUGGGGAAAUUUAAACAAGGAAAGCAAUUCUAUGUCCUUGCUUGACACCAGUUUGUCCCAGAGGUGACACAACUGUGUAGUUUUUGAAAACACUGGGCA